rnacentral:rRNA from 11 species
AGGAGGUUGGCUUAGAAGCAGCCACCCUUUAAAGAAAGCGUAAUAGCUCACUAGUCGAGUCGGCCUGCGCGGAAGAUGUAACGGGGCUAAGCAAUAUACCGAAGCUGCGGCAGCAAGUUUACUUGCUGGGUAGGGGAGCGUUGUGUAAGUGGAUGAAGGUGAGUUGUAAAGCUUGCUGGACAUAUCACAAGUGCGAAUGCUGACAUGAGUAACGACAAUGCGGGUGAAAAACCCGCACGCCGGAAGACCAAGGGUUCCUGCGCAACGCUAAUCGGCGCAGGGUGAGUCGGCCCCUAAGGCGAGGGCGAAAGCCGUAGUCGAUGGGAAAUCGGUUAAAAUUCCGAUACCGAUUUUUACUGCGAUGGAGUGACGGAGAAGGCUAGGCUAGCACGGCGAUGGUUGUCCGUGUUCAAGCGUGUAGGUAGGGGGAUUAGGUAAAUCCGGUCCCUCGUUAAUCUGAGACGUGAUAACGAUCUCCUGGGGAAACCCUCGAGAGAAGUAGUCGAUGCCAUACUUCCAGGAAAAACUUCUAAGCUUCAGGUAAAAAUCGACCGUACUGUAAACCGACACAGGUGAUCAGGUAGAGAAUACCAAGGCGCUUGAGAGAACUUGGGUGAAGGAACUAGGCAAAAUGGUACCGUAACUUCGGGAGAAGGUACGCUGCCGACGGUGAUAGGAUUUACUCCUUGAGCUAUUGGCAGCCACAGAAACCAGGCCCCUGCAACUGUUUAUUAAAAACAUAGCACUCUGCAAACACGAAAGUGGACGUAUAGGGU